rnacentral:tRNA from 1 species
GUGGGAAUAGCUCAGUGGUAGUAGCGGCAGAUUGCAAAUCUGUAGGUCGUGAGUUCAAUCCUCACUUCUCACU